rnacentral:rRNA from 1 species
GCUCAGUAACACGUGGAUAACAUGCCCUAAAGCGGGGGAUAAUCUCGGGAAAUUGAGGAUAAUACCCCAUAGAUCAUAGGAUCUGGAAUGACUUAUGGUCGAAAGUUCUGGCGCUUUAGGAUUGGUCUGCGGCCUAUCAGGUUGUAGUGGGUGUAACGGACCCACUAGCCGACGACGGGUAUGGGCCUUGAGAGAGGGAGCCCAGAGAUGGAUUCUGAGACACGAACCCAGGCCCUACGGGGCGCAGCAGUCGCGAAAACUUCACACUGGAGGCAACUCCGAUGAGGGAAUUCCUAGUGCUAGCACAUUAGUGUUAGCUCUUCUUAAGCGUAGAUAACUUAAGGAAUAAGGGCUGGGUAAGACGGGUGCCAGCCGCCGCGGUAAUACCCGCAGCCCAAGUGGUGGUCGAUUUUAUUGAGUCUAAAACGUUCGUAGCCGGUUUGGUAAAUCCUUGGGUAAAUCGAGAGGCUUAACUUCUCGAAUUCCGAGGAGACUGCCAAACUUGGGACCGGGAGAGGCGAGAGGUACUUCUGGGGUAGGGGUAAAAUCCUGUAAUCCUGGAAGGACCACCGGUGGCGAAGGCGUCUCGCUAGAACGGAUCCGACGGUGAGGGACGGAGCCCUGGGUCGCAAACGGGAUUAGAUACCCCGGUAGUCCAGGGUGUAAACGCUGCAGACUUGGUGUUGGGGGCCCUACGGGGGCGUUCAGUGCCGGAGAGAAGUUGUUAAGUCUGCUACUUGGGGAGUACGUCCGCAAGGAUGAAACUUAAAGGAAUUGG